AGCGAACGCUGGCGGCAGGCCUAACACAUGCAAGUCGAACGGCAGCGCGGGCUUCGGCCUGGCGGCGAGUGGCGAACGGGUGAGUAAUAUAUCGGAACGUACCCAAGAGUGGGGGAUAACGUAGCGAAAGUUACGCUAAUACCGCAUACGAUCUAAGGAUGAAAGCAGGGGAUCGCAAGACCUUGUGCUCCUGGAGCGGCCGAUAUCUGAUUAGCUAGUUGGUGAGGUAAAGGCUCACCAGGGCAACGAUCAGUAGCUGGUCUGAGAGGACGACCAGCCACACUGGAACUGAGACACGGUCCAGACUCCUACGGGAGGCAGCAGUGGGGAAUCUUGGACAAUGGGGGCAACCCUGAUCCAGCAAUGCCGCGUGAGUGAAGAAGGCCUUCGGGUUGUAAAGCUCUUUUGUCAGGGAAGAAAAGGUCGUGGCUAAUAUCCACGACUGCUGACGGUACCUGAAGAAUAAGCACCGGCUAACUACGUGCCAGCCGCCGCUGUAAAAC
rnacentral:rRNA from 1 species